CUCCCUCAAAUCUUUUCUAAAACAAUAAUUAUAAUAAAGAAAGUGAAGUGGGAUAGACAUGGAUAUAUUUUUUUUUGUUUUUUUAAAUAAGAUAAGAAAUAUGAGCGAAUGCGAUAUAGUUGGUUCAAAACAUGCGUCAUUACUUCAUUAAUAUUACCAUUCAAGACAAUAGAGUUUAAAAACAAGUAGCAUUUAACAACAAGGAAAAUGCAAAAUGAAGGCAAAUUAGUCCAAUGGUUG
rnacentral:lncRNA from 1 species